AACGAACGCUGGCGGCAUGCCUAACACAUGCAAGUCGAACGAGACCUUCGGGUAUAGUGGCGCACGGGUGCGUAACGCGUGGGAACCUGCCCUUAGGUUCGGAAUAACUCCCCGAAAGGGGUGCUAAUACCGGAUAAUGUCUUCGGACCAAAGAUUUAUCGCCUUUGGAUGGGCCCGCGUUGGAUUAGCUAGUUGGUAGGGUAAAAGCCUACCAAGGCGACGAUCCAUAGCUGGUCUGAGAGGAUGAUCAGCCACACUGGGACUGAGACACGGCCCAGACUCCUACGGGAGGCAGCAGUGGGGAAUAUUGGACAGUGGGCGAAAGCCUGAUCCAGCAAUGCCGCGUGAGUGAUGAAGGCCUUAGGGUUGUAAAGCUCUUUUACCCGGGAUGAUAAUGACAGUACCGGGAGAAUAAGCUCCGGCUAACUCCGUG
rnacentral:rRNA from 1 species